CAAGGGCCACUGGAUGAGGGGCCUGCGUAGCAUCAGCUAGGUUGGUGGGGUAAUGGCCUACCAAGGCGAAGACGCUUAGCUGGUCUGAGAGGAUGAUCAGCCACACUGGGACUGAGACACGGCCCAGACUCCUACGGGAGGCAGCAGUGGGGAAUAUUGGACAAUGGGCGCAAGCCUGAUCCAGCCACGCCGCGUGAGUGAUGAAGGCCUUCGGGUCGUAAAGCUCUGUGGGGAGGGACGAACGGCGCCAUGAAGAGUGGCGAUUGACGGUACCUCCUUAGCAAGCACCGGCUAACUUCGUGCCAGCAGCCGCGGUAAUACGAAGGGUGCAAACGUUGCUCGGAAUCAUUGGGCGUAAAGCGCACGUAGGCGGCUUUCUAAGUCGGAUGUGAAAUCCCUCGGCUUAACCGAGGACGUGCAUCCGAAACUGGGAGGCUUGAGUAUGGAAGAGGGUCGCAGAAUUCCCGGUGUAGAGGUGAAAUUCGUAGAUAUCGGGAG
rnacentral:rRNA from 1 species